GCUCAUCUUAUUAUAUUAUAUAAGGUAUGGUUUCUAGCUUUUUGGGUUCUCGUCUGUUUUCAGUUGGCUUCUUCCUUAGCUUUAUCCAAAAGCAUUAUCCACCAUGUCUGCCUUUGUUGGAAAAUAUGCUGAGGAACUUAUCAAGAAUGCCAAGUACAUAGCAACACCAGGGAAGGGAAUUUUGGCUGCAGAUGAAAGUACUGGCACUAUUGGAAAACGUUUAUCGAGCAUUAAUGUUGAAAACAUUGAAGCCAAUCGUCAAGCUCUACGUCAACUUCUUUUCACUUCACCAAAUGCUCUCACUUACCUAUCUGGUGUUAUUCUCUUUGAAGAAACACUUUACCAAAAGACUUCUGAUGGAAAGCCAUUUGUUGAACUUCUUCAAGAAAAAAAAGUUGUUCCUGGGAUUAAGGUGGACAAGGGCAUUGUCGAAUUGGCUGGGACCAAUGGCGAGACGACAACUCAAGGGUUUGACUCGUUGGGUGCACGUUGUGCAGAGUACUACAAGGCAGGUGCUCGCUUUGCCAAGUGGAGAGCUGUCUUGAAAAUUGGGCCGACUGAGCCUUCGGAACUGUCAAUUCAGCAAAAUGCACAGGGCCUAGCUCGUUAUGCAAUAAUUUGCCAAGAAAAUGGACUUGUGCCAAUUGUGGAACCAGAAAUUCUAACUGAUGGAAAUCAUGAUAUCGCGAAAUGUGCAGCUGCUACUGAAACUGUUCUUGCUGCUGUUUAUAAGGCUCUCAACGACCAUCAUGUUCUCCUUGAAGGAACGCUUUUGAAGCCCAACAUGGUCACCCCUGGUUCUGAUAGCGCAAAGGUUGCAGCAGAAGUAAUAGCAGAGUACACAGUUACAGCAUUGCGCCGGACCGUGCCACCAGCAGUGCCGGGGAUAGUGUUCUUAUCAGGAGGACAAAGCGAGGAAGAGGCAACAGUGAACUUAAAUGCAAUGAACAAAUUGGAAGUGGUUAAGCCAUGGACACUGUCAUUCUCAUUCGGUAGAGCAUUGCAGCAAAGUACCCUCAAGACUUGGGGUGGAAAAAAAGAAAAUGUUGGCAAAGCUCAACAGGCAUUUUUGGUAAGGUGCAAGGCUAAUUCUGAUGCAACACUUGGAAAGUAUACUGGUGGAAGUGCAGGUGGUGCUGCUUCUGAGAGUCUGUUUGUAUCUGAUUACAAAUAUUAGGUAUGAUGAUCCUGCAUGUAUUUCGUGUAUAUCUCACACACGGAAUUAAAGAUUCAUCUUUUCUGCAUAUUUGCUCCGCGCUGUCCAUAGUACUCAUGGAACUGUUGUUCCCAUUUCUGCUAGUGUGGCUGCUUAUAUGAGGCGAUGGCGAUGGCAUGCCACGUUUAAGAGACGAUGAUGGUGGUGGUCGUGGUGAUGGUGUUACCGGAAACAUCCUGGGCGAAGUAUAUUCAGGAGAGAAGAAACUCAAGCUCUCUGAGGAAGUCAUGGCUAAUGAAUUAUGAAAGGAAAGAUGAACAAGUGAAUGUUGGAUCUAUUUAUUUAAAGAUAAUAAUGGAGUUUGGAAUUGGAUUAAGGAAAGUAAAAGGGAAAGAAGCUUUUGUUUGUUUUUAAUAUAUAGUAGUAGUAUUUUGAUAAAGGUAAUGGGAGUAGGAACUAAAGUUGGGACAUAUAGAUGUUUUGAUUUGAAUUGUGUGUUGCUUUUUUCAUAGUUGAAUCACUGUAUUUAUUCAUAAAAACACUAAAGCAAAGUGGCCCACACAGGCCACCACAGGGCUCUAUAACUUUUGUUUGGAUUUUGUCUUUUCAAAUAAUUUCAGUUAGACUGCAUGCA